ACUACGUGCCAGCAGCCGCGGAAAUACGUAGGUGGCAAGCGUUGUCCGGAAUUACUGGGCGUAAAGGGAGCGUAGGUGGAUAUUUAAGUGGGAUGUGAAAUACUCGGGCUUAACCUGGGUGCUGCAUUCCAAACUGGAUAUCUAGAGUGCAGGAGAGGAAAGUAGAAUUCCUAGUGUAGCGGUGAAAUGCGUAGAGAUUAGGAAGAAUACCAGUGGCGAAGGC
rnacentral:rRNA from 1 species